UACGAAGGGGGCUAGCGUUGCUCGGAAUCACUGGGCGUAAAGGGUGCGUAGGCGGGUCUUUUAAGUCAGGGGUGAAAUCCUGGAGCUCAACUCCAGAACUGCCUUUGAUACUGAGGAUCUUGAGUUCGGGGAGAGGUGAGUGGAACUGCGAGUGUAGAGGUGAAAAUUCGUAGAUAUUCGCAAGACACCAGUGGCGAAGGCGGCUCACUGGCCCGAUACUGACGCUGAGGUGCGAAAACGUGGG
rnacentral:rRNA from 1 species